rnacentral:rRNA from 1 species
AGAGUUUGAUCAUGGCUCAGGACGAACGCUGGCGGCGUGCCUAAUACAUGCAAGUAGAACGCUGAAGAGAGGAGCUUGCUCUUCUUGGAUGAGUUGCGAACGGGUGAGUAUCGCGUAGGUAACCUGCCCUGUAGCGGGGGAUAACUAUUGGAAACGAUAGCUAAUACCGCAUAACAAUGGAUGACACAUGUCAUUUAUUUGAAAGGGGCAAUUGUUCCACUACAAGAUGGACCUGCGUUGUAUUAGCUAGUAGGUGAGGUAAUGGCUCACCUAGGCGACGAUACAUAGCCGACCUGAGAGGGUGAUCGGCCACACUGGGACUGAGACACGGCCCAGACUCCUACGGGAGGCAGCAGUAGGGAAUCUUCGGCAAUGGGGGCAACCCUGACCGAGCAACGCCGCGUGAGUGAAGAAGGUUUUCGGAUCGUAAAGCUCUGUUGUAAGUCAAGAACGGGUGUGAGAGUGGAAAGUUCACACUGUGACGGUAGCUUACCAGAAAGGGACGGCUAACUACGUGCCAGCAGCCGCGGUAAUACGUAGGUCCCGAGCGUUGUCCGGAUUUAUUGGGCGUAAAGCGAGCGCAGGCGGUUUGAUAAGUCUGAAGUUAAAGGCUGUGGCUCAACCAUAGUUCGCUUUGGAAACAGUCAAACUUGAGUGCAGAAGGGGAGAGUGGAAUUCCAUGUGUAGCGGUGAAAUGCGUAGAUAUAUGGAGGAACACCGGUGGCGAAAGCGGCUCUCUGGUCUGUAACUGACGCUGAGGCUCGAAAGCGUGGGGAGCGAACAGGAUUAGAUACCCUGGUAGUCCACGCCGUAAACGAUGAGUGCUAGGUGUUGGAUCCUUUCCGGGAUUCAGUGCCGCAGCUAACGCAUUAAGCACUCCGCCUGGGGAGUACGACCGCAAGGUUGAAACUCAAAGGAAUUGACGGGGGCCCGCACAAGCGGUGGAGCAUGUGGUUUAAUUCGAAGCAACGCGAAGAACCUUACCAGGUCUUGACAUCCCGAUGCUAUUUCUAGAGAUAGAAAGUUACUUCGGUACAUCGGUGACAGGUGGUGCAUGGUUGUCGUCAGCUCGUGUCGUGAGAUGUUGGGUUAAGUCCCGCAACGAGCGCAACCCCUAUUGUUAGUUGCCAUCAUUCAGUUGGGCACUCUAGCGAGACUGCCGGUAAUAAACCGGAGGAAGGUGGGGAUGACGUCAAAUCAUCAUGCCCCUUAUGACCUGGGCUACACACGUGCUACAAUGGUUGGUACAACGAGUUGCGAGUCGGUGACGGCGAGCUAAUCUCUUAAAGCCAAUCUCAGUUCGGAUUGUAGGCUGCAACUCGCCUACAUGAAGUCGGAAUCGCUAGUAAUCGCGGAUCAGCACGCCGCGGUGAAUACGUUCCCGGGCCUUGUACACACCGCCCGUCACACCACGAGAGUUUGUAACACCCGAAGUCGGUGAGGUAACCUUUUGGAGCCAGCCGCCUAAGGUGGGACAGAUGAUUGGGGUGAAGUCGUAACAAGGUA